UUGAACGCUGGCGGCAUGCUUUACACAUGCAAGUCGAACGGUAACAGGGAGCUUGCUCCGCUGACGAGUGGCGAACGGGUGAGUAAUGCAUCGGAACGUGCCUAUUUGUGGGGGAUAACGUAGCGAAAGUUACGCUAAUACCGCAUAAGUCCUGAGGGAGAAAGCGGGGGACCGUAAGGCCUCGCGCGAUUGGAGCGGCCGAUGUUCGAUUAGCUAGUUGGUGGGGUAAAGGCCUACCAAGGCGACGAUCGAUAGCUGGUCUGAGAGGACGACCAGCCACACUGGAACUGAGACACGGUCCAGACUCCUACGGGAGGCAGCAGUGGGGAAUUUUGGACAAUGGGGGCAGCCCUGAUCCAGCCAUUCCGCGUGAGUGAAGAAGGCCUUCGGGUUGUAAAACUCUUUCGGCAGGAACGAAACGGUGAGCUCUAACAUAGCUUGCUAAUGACGGUACCUGAAGAAGAAGCACCGGCUAACUACGU
rnacentral:rRNA from 1 species